rnacentral:rRNA from 1 species
UACGUAGGGUGCAAGCGUUGUCCGGAAUUAUUGGGCGUAAAGAGCUCGUAGGCGGCUUGUCGCGUCGAAUGUGAAAACCCACGGCUCAACUGUGGGCUUGCAGUCGAUACGGGCAGACUAGAGUGCGGUAGGGGAGACUGGAAUUCCUGGUGUAGCGGUGAAAUGCGCAGAUAUCAGGAGGAACACCGGCGGCGAAGGCGGGUCUCUGGGCCGUAACUGACGCUGAGGAGCGAAGCGUGGGGAGCGAACAGG